rnacentral:rRNA from 1 species
GCUCAGGACGAACGCUGGCGGCGUGCCUAAUACAUGCAAGUCGAGCGAAUUUGAGGGAGCUUGCUCCCAAAGAUUAGCGGCGGACGGGUGAGUAACACGUGGGCAACCUGCCUGUAAGACUGGGAUAACUUCGGGAAACCGGAGCUAAUACCGGAUAAUCCUUUUCCUCUCAUGAGGAAAAGCUGAAAGAUGGCUUCGGCUAUCACUUACAGAUGGGCCCGCGGCGCAUUAGCUAGUUGGUGAGGUAACGGCUCACCAAGGCGACGAUGCGUAGCCGACCUGAGAGGGUGAUCGGCCACACUGGGACUGAGACACGGCCCAGACUCCUACGGGAGGCAGCAGUAGGGAAUCUUCCGCAAUGGACGAAAGUCUGACGGAGCAACGCCGCGUGAGUGAUGAAGGUUUUCGGAUCGUAAAACUCUGUUGUUAGGGAAGAACAAGUACCGUUCGAAUAGGGCGGUACCUUGACGGUACCUAACCAGAAAGCCACGGCUAACUACGUGCCAGCAGCCGCGGUAAUACGUAGGUGGCAAGCGUUGUCCGGAAUUAUUGGGCGUAAAGCGCGCGCAGGCGGUCUUUUAAGUCUGAUGUGAAAGCCCCCGGCUCAACCGGGGAGGGUCAUUGGAAACUGGGAGACUUGAGUGCAGAAGAGGAGAGUGGAAUUCCACGUGUAGCGGUGAAAUGCGUAGAGAUGUGGAGGAACACCAGUGGCGAAGGCGACUCUCUGGUCUGUAACUGACGCUGAGGCGCGAAAGCGUGGGGAGCGAACAGGAUUAGAUACCCUGGUAGUCCACGCCGUAAACGAUGAGUGCUAAGUGUUAGAGGGUUUCCGCCCUUUAGUGCUGCAGCAAACGCAUUAAGCACUCCGCCUGGGGAGUACGGCCGCAAGGCUGAAACUCAAAGGAAUUGACGGGGGCCCGCACAAGCGGUGGAGCAUGUGGUUUAAUUCGAAGCAACGCGAAAACCUUACCAGGUCUUGACAUCCUCUGACAAUCCUAGAGAUAGGACUUUCCCCUUCGGGGGACAGAGUGACAGGUGGUGCAUGGUUGUCGUCAGCUCGUGUCGUGAGAUGUUGGGUUAAGUCCCGCAACGAGCGCAACCCUUGAUCUUAGUUGCCAGCAUUCAGUUGGGCACUCUAAGGUGACUGCCGGUGACAAACCGGAGGAAGGUGGGGAUGACGUCAAAUCAUCAUGCCCCUUAUGACCUGGGCUACACACGUGCUACAAUGGAUGGUACAAAGGGCUGCAAGACCGCGAGGUUUAGCCAAUCCCAUAAAACCAUUCUCAGUUCGGAUUGCAGGCUGCAACUCGCCUGCAUGAAGCCGGAAUCGCUAGUAAUCGCGGAUCACAUGCCCGGGGGGAAAUACGUUCCCGGGCCUUGUACACACCGCCCGUCACACCACG